GACGAACGCUGGCGGCGCGCCUAACACAUGCAAGUCGAGCGGAGGUACUUGAAGGAAGUUUUCGGAUGAAAUUUGAGUAUUUUAGCGGCGGACGGGUGAGUAACGCGUGAGUGACCUGCCUUCCACAGGGGGAUAACGUACCGAAAGGUACACUAAUACCGCAUGAGACCACAGCACUGCCUGGUGCAGGGGUCAAAGGAGCAAUCCGGUGGAAGAUGGACUCGCGUCCGAUUAGAUAGUUGGUGGGGUAACGGCCUACCAAGUCAGCGAUCGGUAGCCGACCUGAGAGGGUGAUCGGCCACAUUGGAACUGAGAGACGGUCCAAACUCCUACGGGAGGCAGCAGUGGGGAAUAUUGGGCAAUGGGGGAAACCCUGACCCAGCGACGCCGCGUGAGGGAAGAAGGUUUUCGGAUUGUAAACCUCUGUUCUUGGUGAAGAGGGAAAGACGGUAGCCAAGGAGGAAGCCCCGGCUAACUACGUGCCAGCCGCCGCCGUAA
rnacentral:rRNA from 1 species